rnacentral:rRNA from 1 species
CAAUAGCAUUGAAGAGACUGCUAAAAGGUAUACAGUUUGAUCAUGGCUCAUGCCGAACGCUUGCGGCGCGCUUAACACAAUGCAACGUCUACGCAGAACGAGGUAGCACUAUCUUUANUAAACCUGGCGUACGGGUGCGUAACACGUAAGUAAUCUACCUUUGGGUUCGGAAUAACUUCGGGAAAUCGGAGCUAAUACCGGAUAAUGCAGCGGCACCGCAUGGUGAUGUUGUUAAAGUUUGUGUAACGUCUAAAGAUGAACUUGCGUCUGAUUAGCUAGUUGGUGAGGUAAAGGCUCACCAAGGCUGCGAUCAGUAGCUGGUCUGAGAGGAUGAUCAGCCACACUGGAACUGAGACACGGUCCAGACUCCUACGGGAGGCAGCAAGUGAGGAAUAUUGGGCAAUGCCCGAAAGGGUGACCCAGCAACGCCGCGUGGAGGAUGAAGGUCGUAAGAUUGUAAACUCCUGUUAGAGGGGAAGAAUAACUAAGUUUGGAGCUUAGUAUGACUGUACCCUCAGAGAAAGCCCCGGCUAACUACGUGCCAGCAGGCGCGGUAAUACGUAGGGGGCAAGCGUUGUCCGGAUUUACUGGGUGUAAAGGGCGCGCAGGCGGAAUGGAAAGUCAGUGGUGAAAUCCUACAGCUUAACUGUAGAACUGCCUUUGAUACUUUCAUUCUUGAGUUCGGGAGAGAGAGACGGAAUUCCAGGUGUAGUGGUGAAAUACGUAGAUAUCUGGAAGAACACCAGUUGCGAAGGCAGGUCUCUUGGUCCGAUACUGACGCUGAGGCGCGAAAGCGUGGGGAGCAAACAGGAUUAGAUACACUGGUAGUCCACGCUGUAAACGAUGAAUACUAGGUGUUGGGUUUUUAACUCAGUGCCGCAGCUAACGCAUUAAGUAUUCCACACUGGGAAGUACGAUCGCAAGGUUGAAGUCAAAGGAAUGACGGAUCUUUAAGAAACGUGACUAGCUACGAGAAGGGGGGCCUCGU